AUGGCAACACUUAAAGAUGUGGCAACGCGGAAGCCUAUUCUAGCGACAAUCCGCCUCCUAGUUCCUGCUGGAGCAGCCCGUCCCGCACCCCCUGUCGGACCAGCUCUGGGUUUCUACAGGCUCAAUCUGAUGGCUUUCUGCAAGGAUUUCAAUGCAAGGACACAGAAGUACAAGGCGGAAACUCCGAUGCAAGUCACGCUGACCGCCUACAAGGACAGCACUUUCGAGUUUGUAGUCAAGUCGCCAUCGGUCUCAUGGUUUCUCAAGAAAGCAGCGGGCGUCGAGACAGCAAGCAGCCGGCCAGGCCACAACAUGGUGACGUCCCUCUCACUUCGCCACGUCUACGAGAUCGCGAAGCUGAAGCAGACCGACCCGUUCUGCAAGCACAUGUCGCUCGAGGCCCUGUGCAAGUCCAUCAUCGGCACGGCCAAGUCAAUGGGCAUCGAAAUCGUCAAGGAUCUCUGA
rnacentral:rRNA from 1 species